rnacentral:rRNA from 1 species
UAAUACAGAGGUCCCAAGCGUUGUUCGGAUUCACUGGGCGUAAAGGGUGCGUAGGUGGCUGGGUAAGUUUGAUGUGAAAUCUCCGGGCUUAACCCGGAAAUGGCAUUGAAUACUAUUCGGCUGGAGGUUUGGAGGGGGGACUGGAAUUCUCGGUGUAGCAGUGAAAUGCGUAGAUAUCGAGAGGAACACCAGUGGCGAAGGCGAGUCCCUGGACAACACCUGACACUGAGGCACGAAAGCUAGGGGAGCAAACAGGAUUAGAUACCCUGGUAGUCCUAGCUGUAAACGGUGCAUAUUUGCUGUAAAAGGAAUCGACCCCUUUUGUGGCGAAGCUAACGCGAUAAAUAUGCCGCCUGGGAAGUACGGUCGCAAGAUUA